rnacentral:lncRNA from 1 species
ACCGUUUCCUCCAGACCAACUCGUCUGCUGUGUCCGUACAGGUCGGGGACAACGUCACCCUCGCGUACACUCAUCAGAACGAGUCUCCUUUACGGCAAAGGUAAAGACAACAGUAAAGUUUCUAUUAAUAAUUUAAGCGACACCGUUUCUGUUCUUGAUCUUCGUGCUACAGAGUUGGUUUUGGUACCUUGAAGUUGUCGGAGUUUUUCUCUGACAGAGAAAUGACUAGUUUAAGGAAUUGUUUUCUAAUUCUGUCGGACAUCCGGAAUCAUUAGCUUUAUUAUUUACGGAUCAGACGGUGCAGAGCGUUUGAUCAAGUUAGCGAUAUGCCUGCACGGCUACAC